rnacentral:tRNA from 1 species
UAUUUUUGAGCAAGACCACAAUACUAAUAAGGUAUUUUAAGGAGUACUUAAUAACUCCCUCAAAAC